rnacentral:rRNA from 1 species
UACAUGUGGGGCAAGCGUUGUUCGGAAUUACUGGGCAUAAAGGGUGCGUAGGUGGCUUGUUAAGUCAGGGGUGAAAGUUUUCGGCCCAACCGGAAAAUGGCCUUUGAUACUGGCGAGCUCGAGUGCGUGAGGGGUAACCGGAACGAGCAGUGUAGCGGUGAAAUGCGUAGAUAUCAGGAAGAACACCCGUGGCUAAGGCGGCUCUCUAGUACGGUACUGACGCUGAGACGCGAAAGCGUGGGGAGCGAACAGG